UACAAACGAUCCAUUUGGUUGCAA
rnacentral:siRNA from 1 species